ACCUUUGCGCAGUGGCAGAAUCGUAGCCAAUGAGGUUUAUCCAAGGCGCGAUUAUUGCUAAUUAAAACAUAAGUCAGUUCCCCUCAUUCCUCUGCUCAAAACCUUCCAGUGACUCCCCAUUUGAUUCACAGUAUAAAAGUCUCUUUUAUAUGCAGUUUUUUAAUUGAGAUGUAAUUG
rnacentral:snRNA from 1 species